UGGUUUGAGAGCUUGAAGCUGCCAGCAUGAUCUGGUAUACUUAACCUAUAGCUAUAUCAGCCUCACACUACUAGUAAUAUACAUAUAUAUAUUAGAUCUUGCAGCACCAAAUUAUAAAUAU
rnacentral:miRNA from 1 species